GACGAACGCUGGCGGCGUGCCUAAUACAUGCAAGUAGAACGCACAGUUUAUACCGUAGCUUGCUACACCAUAGACUGUGAGUUGCGAACGGGUGAGUAACGCGUAGGUAACCUGCCUGGUAGCGGGGGGUAACUAUUGGAAACGAUAGCUAAUACCGCAUAAUAUUGAUUAUUGCAUGAUAAUUGAUUGAAAGAUGCUAUUGCAUCACUACCAGAUGGACCUGCGUUGUAUUAGCUAGUAGGUGAGGUAACGGCUCACCUAGGCGACGAUACAUAGCCGACCGGAGAGGGUGAUCGGCCACACUGGGACUGAGACACGGCCCAGACUCCUACGGGAGGCAGCAGUAGGGAAUCUUCGGCAAUGGACGAAAGUCUGACCGAGCAACGCCGCGUGAGUGAAGAAGGUUUUCGGAUCGUAAAGCUCUGUUGUAAGAGAAGAACGGGUGUGAGAGUGGAAAGUUCACACUGUGACGGUAUCUGACCAGAAAGGGACGGCUAACUACGUG
rnacentral:rRNA from 1 species